rnacentral:rRNA from 1 species
GAUGAACGCUGGCGGCGUGCCUAAUACAUGCAAGUCGAGCGAACAGACGAGGAGCUUGCUCCUCUGACGUUAGCGGCGGACGGGUGAGUAACACGUGGAUAACCUACCUAUAAGACUGGGAUAACUUCGGGAAACCGGAGCUAAUACCGGAUAAUAUAUUGAACCUCAUGGUUCAAUAGUGAAAGACGGUUUUGCUGUCACUUAUAGAUGUAUCCGCGCCGCAUUAGCUAGUUGGUAAGGUAACGGCUUACCAAGGCGACGAUGCGUAGCCGACCUGAGAGGGUGAUCGGCCACACUGGAACUGAGACACGGUCCAGACUCCUACGGGAGGCAGCAGUAGGGAAUCUUCCGCAAUGGGCGAAAGCCUGACGGAGCAACGCCGCGUGAGUGAUGAAGGUCUUCGGAUCGUAAAACUCUGUUAUUAGGGAAGAACAAAUGUGUAAGUAACUAUGCACGUCUUGACGGUACCUAAUCAGAAAGCCACGGCUAACUACGUG